rnacentral:tRNA from 1 species
GCCACUGUGGCGGAACUGGCAGACGCCAGGGACUUAAAAUCCCUUGCUGGCAACAGCGUACCGGUUCGAUCCCGGUCAGUGGCA